CCCCAAUGUCCCUCAACAAAAUAAACUCCAGUGCUUCAGAGUAUCAGAAGAAGAUCUCUCUCUCUAAGUUCCCUUCUUUCUCGACUCCCUCCCUCACUCAAACUCUCUUGCUUUUCCUCCUCCAGGCCUCCCGUCAUUCCACCUGCGUUAGCGUCCCCAUCUACGUCGCUGAAUUUGCCUCCCGAGUCGGCCAGGGUCAUCUGUUGAAGAUGACGGGUACUGUGCAUACCAGAGAGAUGAAGAGCGGUUUCUUGAUAACAUGGAUCUGGAGAGAGAAAGAGGCAUCACUAUCAAACUACAGGCUGCUCGAAUGCGCUACAUGUUCCAGAGAACCUUAUUGCCUGAAUUUAAUCGAUACUCCUGGUCAUUUGGACUUCUCCUAUGAGGUUUCCUGUUCUCUUGCGGCUUGUGAAGGUCCUCUUCUUGUUGUAGAUGCUUCUCAGAUUAUGACUGAAGCUUGUGUAUUAAGAAAUCAUUUUAUUGGGAUUGGAAGCACAGACAUGGCUAUUGUUUAUUUGGGUCUGGAGAACAACCCAGAGAUCAUCCCUGAUUCCGCCACCCCAUAAUACCACUGAUAUGCCUUUGAGGGUUUCGAUAUUCGAUAGGUAUGUGCUUGACUUCAUCACUACAGGUUAACACAUCAUUUUAUUGGGAUUGGAAGCACAGACAUUGGCUAUUGUUUAUUUGGGUCUGCAGAACAACCUAGAGAUCAUCCCUGAUUCUGCCACCCCAUAAUACCACUGAUAUUGCCUUUGAGGGCUUCGAUAUUCGACAGUUAUUAUGAUCCAUAUCGUGGUGUCAUUGUAUAUUUCCAGCUCAUUGAUGGGAAAAUUAAGAAAGGCGACAGGAAUUAAUUUGAUGGCCGGUGAAAAAGAGGAUUAUGUUGCUGAUGAAAUUGGAGUUCUGUCUCUCAAUCGAACGGAGGUGGAAGAAUAGGUAAAAUCAUACUUCCUUGUGAUUGUUGUUUUUUCUUAAAUAAAUAGAAGAUUCAAAUUCCAUUAUCUUCAACUUUUGGGAUUUAUGGUGUUCCUUGAUUAGAAACUUGACAUCUCCCUUAGAAUAAUAAUGUUGCAUGCGUUGGGCCUUCCCUUCCAUAAAGGGCGCUCAGCCCACAUGUGGGGAGAGUGUUGGUAUUUAGGCAUAUCAACUUCAAGAAGUUUCUUGUUUUCCUAUGUUAUUGACGUAAACUAUAUAACGGGUGUACAUCAUUUUUUAUUGGGCCGAAUUUGCAUUUAGUCGUCACUUUGUUUUGUUGGGCCCAGUUAGUUCUUAAAAUCCAUGUAAAUAUGUGGGUCCUAACAGAGCCUCUCACGAAUUCUCUUUUGGGGCACUCGUGGUAAAAUGUUCUAACAUUGUGCGUGGGGCAUAUUGGGUCCGCUGUAUUGACUAUUGAGGAACAUUUUUUUUUCAUAAACCAGAUAAAUUAAGAAUUAACAAAUACAAACGAGAGAUGGCAUACAUAUGCAUCCCACAUAAUAGAAGAUUUAUCUCCAUAGUCAGAUUUGCUUAUGCCUCUAUAAAAUCUUAAAAUGUAGCAAUCAGACAGCAGUAAUACAGGAUAGUCGACAAGUGAUAACAUCCUCGUUUUGAUUCAAAACAAAUUGGUCACACUCACACUUCUACAUGCCCAAUAUACUAGAGAGCCAUGUGUGCAUACCACCGGAUCUACAGGAAGGCAUCCUUCUCAAGUAACUUUACCACCUCAUUC